CGACGGGUGAGUAACACGUAUCCAACCUGCCGUCUACUCUUGGACAGCCUUCUGAAAGGAAGAUUAAUACAAGAUGGCAUCAUGAGUCCACAUGUUCACAUGAUUAAAGGUAUUCCGGUAGACGAUGGGGAUGCGUUCCAUUAGAUAGUAGGCGGGGUAACGGCCCACCUAGUCUUCGAUGGAUAGGGGUUCUGAGAGGAAGGUCCCCCACAUUGGAACUGAGACACGGUCCAA
rnacentral:rRNA from 1 species